AACACGUGCUUAAUUUGCCCCGGAGAGGAGGACAACUACAGAGAUGUAGCUAAACCUCCAUACGCUCAUGGAAAUGAAAAUACCAUGAGGAAACAAUUUAUUGCUCUGGGAGAAGGGUGCGGCCUAUCAGGUAGUUGGUGAGGUAAAGGCUCACCAAGCCUAUGACGGGUAGCCGGUCUGAGAGGAUGUCCGGCCGCAAUGGAACUGAGACACGGUCCAUACCCCUACGGGGGGCAGCAGUGGGGAAUCUUGGUCAAUGGGCGAAAGCCUGAACCAGCGAUUCUGCGUGAAGGAUGAAGCCUCGCGGGGUGUAAACUUCUUUUUUGGGGGAAGACGAAUGACGGUACCCCACGAAUAAGGGACGGCUAACUACGUGCCAGCAGCCGCGGUAAUACGUAGGUCCCAAGCGUUAUCCGGAUUUACUGGGCGUAAAGAGUCUGUAGCUGGUUAUGCAAGUCUAUUUUCAAAGACCUUGGCUCAACUAAGGGAAGGGAAUGGAUACUGCAUAUCUGGAGUCUAUUAGAGGUUAGUAGAAUUCCCGGUGGAGGGGUGAAAUCCGUUGAUAUUGGGAGGAAUGCCGAAAGCGAAAGCAGCUAACUAUAAUUGCACUGACAGUGAGAGACGAAAGCAUGGGUAGCAAACGGGAUUAGAUACCCCGGUAGUCCAUGCCGUAAACUAUGCUUGCUAAGUGUUUUGGAGACUUGAUCUCCGGAGUACUGUAACCUAACGGGUUAAGCAAGCCGCCUGGGUAGUACAGUCGCAAGACUGAAACUCAAAGGAAUAGGCGGGGGAACACACAAGCAGUGGAUGAUCUAGAUUAAUUGGACAAUAAGCCAAGAACCUUACCUAGGUUUGACAUGUAUUUCUAAGGUAGUGAAAGCUAUCGAGCGUAGCAAUACGCAACUUACACAGGUGGUGCAUGGUCGUCGUCAGCUCGUGCCGCAAGGUAUCUAGUUAAGUCUAGAAACGAGCGCAACCCUCAUCUCUAGUUAUUGUGUCUAGAGAAACUGCCUUCGCAAGAAGGAGGAAGGAGAGGAUGACGUCAGAUCCUCAUGCCCCUUAUGCCUAGGGCGUCAUAGAUCAUACAAUGGGAAGUAACAAUGAGAAGCUAAGCCGUGAGGUAGAGCAAAACUCCAAACCUUCCCCAAGUUCAGAUUGUAAUCUGCAACUCGAUUACAUGAAGUCGGAAUUGCUAGUAAUGGUGAAUCAGCCAUGUCACCGUGAAUAUGUCCCUGUUCCUUGCACUCACCGCCCGUCACACCAUGGGAGUUGAGGCCUUAUGAAGAUUCGCCCUGCGGAUUGAAUAGGGAAUCGAUGACUGGGGUG
rnacentral:rRNA from 1 species